rnacentral:rRNA from 1 species
GAUGAACGCUGGCGGCGUGCUUAACACAUGCAAGUCGAACGGAAAGGCCGAAGCUUGCUUCGGUACUCGAGUGGCGAACGGGUGAGUAACACGUGGGUGAUCUGCCCUGUACUUCGGGAUAAGCUUGGGAAACUGGGUCUAAUACCGGAUAUGACGAUCUCUUGGAUGGGGUUGUGGAAAGCUUUUGCGGUAUGGGAUGAGCUCGCGGCCUAUCAGCUUGUUGGUGGGGUAAUGGCCUACCAAGGCGUCGACGGGUAGCCGGCCUGAGAGGGUGUACGGCCAAAUUGGGACUGGGAUACGGCCCAGGCUCCUACGGGAGGCAGCAGUGGGGAAUAUUGCACAAUGGGCGCAAGCCUGAUGCAGCGACGCCGCGUGGGGGAUGACGGCCUUCGGGUUGUAAACUCCUUUCGCAAUCGACGAAGCCUUUUGGUGACGGUAGGUUGAGAAGAUGCACCGGCUAACUACGUG